UUGGUUGGUUUUGUCUGUCUCUAAGUAGAUAUGAUGGCGAUUUGGUCAACACUGGGUCCUGAAAAAGCACAUGGCUCUGAACUUACAUGACCAUUUAUUAGUUGCUGAGUUUUCUAAGAAGCUGUAUCUUUCCAUCUAUUUGGCCACAACGCGUUGCUUCGACCACUCCUAUGAGAAAGUAGAACGACUGCGAAGUGAAGUAUUUCGCUUUAUGGGGAAAUAGAUAUCGUCGAGAAAAGGAAUUGUAAGUAAAUUAUUGCAUUCAGGUUUCGGACGUUCAGUAACUUGAACUGAUAGGAUCAUAGGAACACUCCUGGUUAGGGAUGAAAACAAUCCAGUAGUAAGCUGUUUCAUGAUUUGUUUCCUCUUAAAAUGCUUAGAGGUAUUUUACAAAACGAUCUUACUAUUACUAAUUGGAGACUCCUUUUGAAACCUUCAGGUGAAGCCACCUAUGCCAUUAUGAAACUAAUCCUAGGCGGACACUCUAGAAAAAAGAAAAAUCCUAAAAAUUCUCACAAAAAAGCAAAAUAUCUAUCCAUCAAUUGGUAGACUCAAAUCAUCAUAACCAUUGGAUCUAUUAUGUUUUCUAAAAAAUUACCCACCUAUGCCAUUAUGAAAAUAGCCUAAAAUAACCCCAUAAAUCUAUAUCUAAAUUACCCACCUCUAUCAUUAUAUAAAAUAAACUAAAGUAACCCCCUAAUCUUCAUCAAAAUUACCCACUCAUGCCAUUAUAAACAAUAUUUAAAAUAACUCCCUAAAUUUGCAACUAAAUUGCCCACCACUAAUACUUAAAAAACAACUUAAAUUAACCCUUAAAUUUGUAUCUAUAUUA
rnacentral:lncRNA from 1 species